rnacentral:rRNA from 1 species
UACGGGGGGAGCAAGCGUUGUUCGGAUUUACUGGGCGUAAAGGGCGCGUAGGCGGUCAGCACAAGUCAGUUGUGAAAUCUCCGGGCUUAACUCGGAAAGGUCAACUGAUACUGUGCGACUAGAGUGCAGAAGGGGCAACUGGAAUUCUCGGUGUAGCGGUGAAAUGCGUAGAUAUCGAGAGGAACACCUGCGGCGAAGGCGGGUUGCUGGGCUGACACUGACGCUGAUGCGCGAAGGCCAGGGGAGCAAACGGG